rnacentral:tRNA from 1 species
UGCUUUGUGGCUUAGUGGGUUAGAGCGCUGAACCAGCUAUAUGGAGUUGUGGGUUCGAAUCCCACCAAAGCAA